rnacentral:rRNA from 1 species
AAAUUGAAGAGUUUGAUCAUGGCUCAGAUUGAACGCUGGCGGCAGGCCUAACACAUGCAAGUCGGACGGUAGCACAGAGGAGCUUGCUCCUUGGGUGACGAGUGGCGGACGGGUGAGUAAUGUCUGGGGAUCUGCCCGAUAGAGGGGGAUAACCACUGGAAACGGUGGCUAAUACCGCAUAACGUCGCAAGACCAAAGAGGGGGACCUUCGGGCCUCUCACUAUCGGAUGAACCCAGAUGGGAUUAGCUAGUAGGCGGGGUAAUGGCCCACCUAGGCGACGAUCCCUAGCUGGUCUGAGAGGAUGACCAGCCACACUGGAACUGAGACACGGUCCAGACUCCUACGGGAGGCAGCAGUGGGGAAUAUUGCACAAUGGGCGCAAGCCUGAUGCAGCCAUGCCGCGUGUAUGAAGAAGGCCUUCGGGUUGUAAAGUACUUUCAGCGGGGAGGAAGGCGAUG